UACGUAGGGACCGAGCGUUGUCCGGAGUCAUUGGGCGUAAAGAGCGUGUAGGCGGCUAUUUAAGUCCUGCGUGAAAUCCUGCGGCUCAACCGCAGACGGUCGUGGGAAACUGGAUGGCUAGAGUGCGGGAGAGGAGAGUGGAAUUCCCGGUGUAGCGGUGAAAUGCGCAGAUAUCGGGAAGAACACCCGUGGCGAAGGCGGCUCUCUGGAACGCAACUGACGCUGAGACGCGAAAGCGUGGGGAGCAAACAGG
rnacentral:rRNA from 1 species